rnacentral:sRNA from 1 species
UGCUCGUGAUUGUGUGUCCUAAAUUCAG